GCAGCCGCCUCCCUCAUUUCCUAAAAAUUCUCUCAAACUAUACCCAUCUCCCACGCAUGGCCGAGAGCCUCCAAAAAGCAAGGCCACCACACCGGCCACCAUACUUUGGCCAGUUGGUGGCCAUUAUUCAUUCAACCGUCGCCUAAUCCAACCGGAGAAGACCCUAGAUAAGGUAGGACUCCACUCCUUUUCUAGCCUCUUUCUUUCACUUGACGAAGGCCCCAAAGACCACGGUCGACACUCACAUCGCCAUAGAUUGGCUUCGGCCUCCCUUCCGAUCGACACCGUGGUGGCAAGCUACCCAACGACGAGCUUAAGCCAAACCAAGGCCCCUAAAACCUACAUGUAAACAUCUAAAGGCCUAAGGGCUUUCGGCCUUUUGUCUACCCUUCCCCGACGCUCCGCUCCGGCGACGAUCUUAACUUCAACGAGGAGAUCGACAAACCAAGGGUUCUUUGGAGGCUGCCGUGGAGCACUCGGGUGACCAACGUGAAAGGGGGACCGCAGCUUGUUCGACCAGCUGCUGGGUUCGGGACCACCUUGCGUGGGUGGCAGCUGACGAGGAGGGACCACAGCUGGACAUGCACAGCUGGCAUCGGCUGAAUCCUUCACCAUUUGUUAGGGGUUUCCUUGACCCUAAAUUACAUGUUGGGUCUUCUGGGCCUGUAGUUGGGUUAAUAGUUAUGUAGUAUUUGGGAUUUUUUCCUUGGUGUGAGUAGUGUGUAUUGGAAUGGAAUUUGGACUGGUUUUGAA